rnacentral:rRNA from 1 species
AUUGAACGCUGGCGGCAUGCCUAACACAUGCAAGUCGAACGGAGGUAGGGGCAACUCUACUUCAGUGGCGGACGGGUGAGGAAUGCGUCGGAAUCUACCCUAUGGUGGGGGAUAACACAGGGAAACUUGUGCUAAUACCGCAUAAUGUCGAGAGACCAAAGCAGGGGACCGCAAGGCCUUGCGCGAUAGGAUGAGCCGACGCCCGAUUAGCUAGUUGGUAGGGUAAAGGCCUACCAAGGCGACGAUCGGUAGCUGGUCUGAGAGGAUGAUCAGCCACACUGGGACUGAGACACGGCCCAGACUCCUACGGGAGGCAGCAGUGGGGAAUAUUGGACAAUGGGCGCAAGCCUGAUCCAGCAAUGCCGCGUGUGUGAAGAAGGCCUGCGGGUUGUAAAGCACUUUUGUUCGGGAAGAAAUCAUGCUGGUUAAUACCUGGUAUGGAUGACGGUACCGAAGAAUAAGCACCGGCUAACUUCGUGCCAGCAGCCG